GAUAAACGCUGGCGGCGUGCUUAACACAUGCAAGUCGAACGAAGUUUUUCCUUCGGGAGAAACUUAGUGGCGGACGGGUGAGUAACGCGUGGGUAACCUGCCCUGUACAGGGGGACAACAGCUGGAAACGGCUGCUAAUACCGCAUAAGUCCUUAGCACUGCAUGGUGCAUAGGGAAAAGGAGCAAUCCGGUACAGGAUGGACCCGCGUCUGAUUAGCCAGUUGGCAGGGUAACGGCCUACCAAAGCGACGAUCAGUAGCCGAUCUGAGAGGAUGUACGGCCACAUUGGGACUGAGACACGGCCCAGACUCCUACGGGAGGCAGCAGUGGGGAAUAUUGCACAAUGGAGGAAACUCUGAUGCAGCGACGCCGCGUGAGUGAAGAAGUAUUUCGGUAUGUAAAGCUCUAUCAGCAGGGAAGAAAAUGACGGUACCUGACUAAGAAGCACCGGCUAAAUACGUG
rnacentral:rRNA from 1 species